CCUACGGGCGGCAGCAGUGAGGAAUAUUGCACAAUGGGGGGAACCCUGAUGCAGCGACGCCGCGUGAAUGAUGAAGUAUUUCGGUACGUAAACUUCUAUCAGCAGGGAAGAAAAUGACGGUACCUGACUAAGAAGCCCCGGCUAACUACGUGCCAGCAGCCGCGGUAAUACGUAGGGGGCAAGCGUUAUCCGGAUUUACUGGGUGUAAAGGGAGCGUAGACGGGCAUGCAAGUCUGCUGUGAAAAGCCGGGGCCCAACCCCGGGAGUGCAUUGGUAACUGCGUGACUGGAGUGACGGAGAGGUAAGCGGAAUGCCUAGUGUAGAGGUGAAAUGCGUAGAUAUUAGGAGGAACACCAGUGGCGAAGGCGGCUUACUGGACGGUAACUGACGUUGAGGCUCGAAAGCGUGGGGAGCAAACAGGAUUAGAUACCCGAGUAGUC
rnacentral:rRNA from 1 species